UACGGAGGGUGCAAGCGUUAUCCGGAUUCACUGGGUUUAAAGGGUGCGUAGGUGGUCUGUAAGUCAGUGGUGAAAUCUCCAAGCUUAACUUGGAACUGCCGUUGAUACUAUAGACCUUGAAUGCUGUGGAGGUGAGCGGAAGUAUGUCAUGUAGCGGUGAAAUGACUUAGAUAUGACAUAGAACACCAAUUGCGAAGGCAUGCUCAGCUA
rnacentral:rRNA from 1 species